ACAACCUUUCAAAGUUAAAAUCUUGGUACUAAGGUAUAAUUCUGGAUGUUAUCUACCAGCAAAAACUAGCAGGUUUGAAUGUGCUGUGUGACAUUUAACCCACUCUUAGUCUGGUAACCAUCCUCAACCAGAAACUGGGUCUGAUUUGAGCCAUAUUAAUUGCAAUUGGAUUUGUAUUAGUUAUAGAAAAGGAUAGAAAGAAUCUAGUUGGAAGGGGCCAAGGGAGUGUUCUGUGGAGAAGUACAUGUGGGGAGGGUAGCCUUUUGGCUUCUUGUCCUUUGAAUUCUUAAGGAAUUUUGUUGCUGCUAUAUUUCUUGUCAUAUUCAUGAUGAUAAAAGUAUAUAAGUAAUUAAUAUUGCCCAUGUGCUCUAUUUAUAGAUUUUUAAUUGUGCAUGUUUUAAAAAAAAUACAUGAUCUCUAUGGUUUUCCUAUGCUUUUUUUCUUUCCUGGAUUAUUAAAAUAUUGUAAAGAACUAACUUUUCGGGGGUUGGGGAUUUAGCUCAGUGGUAGAGCGCUAGCAAGCGCAAGGCCCUGGGUUCGGUCCCCAGCUCUGGAAAAAAAAAAAAAAAAAAAAAAAAGAACUAACUUUUCUUUUCUUUUUCAUUCCCAUACAGGAAAGAGAAGUAUAUUGUUUAUUUACUCAUUGGUACCAUUUUAAACAAACAUUUUGACUGAGGAUUUACUGUUUGCCAGAUUCCUACUUAAAUAUGCCUAUAUUCUUUUAUAGGAAUUCCAGCUUUUCAUUUGUUAAUAGAUAUGGGUAAGUAACAAUGAGAGUCUCUCACAUCUUUGAAGAUUACCAUUAGACGUUUAGAUUUAAAGGGAAAACAGUCACUAUGUGACUUUCCCAUACCUCUCAAUAAUCAAGUUUCCUCUUUUUUAGUUUAGGUUUUUAAGUUCUAGGAAUUGAACCUAGGGCCUCAUGUGUGUGAGGCAAGUGGUCCACCACUGAGCUACAGCUCCAGUCCGAAGAACUGAGUUAAUUUGAAAGCCAACAUUUACAGUAUUUCUCUGGUAGUUGCUGCUGAAGUCGGAACUUGGGAAGAGACCUAAUGGUCUUUAUAAAGUUCUCUUUAUCAUUUCAUAGAGGAAUGACUUAGAGAAAUAAAAGCCUCCUGAAACCUCUCCCUUUAACAAGAUGCUUAGCCACAUAACCACUCUCAGGGAGAUGUCUUAGUUGUGUCUGAUCGUAGUCUUACUUGGGAUACUGUGAGCAACAAACUCACUGACUAGAAAUCGAUGGGAGCCUUUACCUGUGGCCUAACCACCACCUUUGACUUGUUAGUACUUAGAAAAUUUAUGACUGCCCAAGUGAAAUUCUUAGGAUUAGUGGCUAAAGGAGUUCCAUUUAUCCUUACAUAUAGUUCUAAGUAUUCUAGACUUUGGAUAAGAAAAAAAACUAUAAACAUUUUUUCUGACUUAACUAAAAACAAAUAUAUUUUAUAAUGCAUUAGGUGUAUGCAUGAAAUAAAAGUAUCACAAUAAAAUG
rnacentral:lncRNA from 1 species